rnacentral:rRNA from 16 species
CUUAGGAUGCUGGCAUAAUGGCUUUAAACGACCCGUCUUGUAACACGGACCAAGGAGUCUAACAUGUUUGCGAGUGUUUGGGUGGAAAACCCGAGCGCGUAAUUAAAGUGAAUGCAGGUGGGAUGCGCAAGCAGCACCAUCGACCGAUCUGGAUCUUUUGUGAUGGAUUUGAGUAAGAGCACAUAUGUUGGGACCCGAAAGAUGGUGAACUAUGCCUGAAUAGGGCGAAGCCAGAGGAAACUCUGGUGGAGGCUCGUAGCGAUUCUGACGUGCAAAUCGAUCGUCAAAUUUGGGUAUAGGGGCGAAAGACUAAUCGAACCAUCUAGUAGCUGGUUCCUGCCGAA